GCGUGCCGGUCGGUCGUGUGUGUACCAUUUCAGACUACGCCGCGCGCCGUCGUCGUGCUACAUAUACGAUAUAUGCAACUCUGCAGCAUCUCUGUGUGCUUAUAAUAUAUAUAUAAUAUCAUGUCGGCUGCAGGUCCGUCUGGUGAGGUAUAUAUAUAUAUAUAUAAUAUAGUAUUAUCUCGUCGUCGACCUCCGUGCACAAUAUGGAAAACGACUACCCUGGUUAACGCAUGAUGUGUGUGUGUGUGUGUAUAUAUAUAUAUAUACCGGUGUAUCUACCUACCUAUCUUCUUAUAUUAUUCGAUAACCCUCUCGCCGGCGUGUGUCACGUGCGUGUGCGGACUUUCAGGCACUUUUUCCUCUCGACAAAAGAAUUAAAAAAAAUAAACUCUAACCUAUUAUUAUUAUUUGUUUAGGCGCGUGGGCGUGCAUAACGAAAUCCUGUAGCUAUAAUAAUACGCGUGUGCGCGAGAUCGUACAUUAACACAAACAACGAACGCGUACUAUGUGAUGUGCGUUAGAAAAAGAACACAUCGUACAUGACGUGUACAUCACACCUCCGCUCGGCUGGAUUUGGAUUAUCGCCUUGUCUUGGACGCUGGUAAAACAAUAUCAUAUCAUGUAUAGCGAUGUAGGCAACAUCAAGAGCGGCUUAUGAUUUAUAUUCGCAUGUCGUCGUAUUCAUACACGCCUGGGACCUGAUUAUUCACGAAAGUGGACAAUAUAAUAAUUACAAACACUCGACAAAUUUAUGAUCACUUAAUUAGAUCAAUCAGUACAUUUGGCGAAGAACACGAAUAAAUUUCUAUGUUCCACAAGUCGGUAUCAAGUCCCUUUAAUCAAAAGCGGAAGAUAUAGUAAUAAAAGAUCAAAUAAUGACCGAGAAAUUUUGUUCUGAGGAUCCAUUGAUCGCUACCGAUGCUGAGAUUAAAAAAAUUCAACAAACCGGAAAUACGCACGACGUUGUUGCGCGGGGUACAGGCGUCAGGAAGCUUCAAUACUGACGAUCUAUUAACUAAAAAUCCACGAAUCGUUCGUUAUUAUAUCGUGAAGUGUGCCGCGAAUACCAUAUGCGGCGGAUGAUCUAGCUGUCCACUUCAAUGCAUCGAUAUUGGAUAACAUCGAAACGGUAACCACCUGCUGCAGGAAAUCCAUGACACACGCCGGUGGCUUACGUUUCUCCACCACCAUACACCAAUCGAUUUGAUCUUAUUAUUUAAAAAAAAAUAAAGUGUCUUUCAAUAUGUUCAAUGGUGACGUUGGUACUGAUGUGCAUAAUACUAAAAUGAUUAUUAUUAUUGUAUAUACCGGAUGAUUUAUUCAAUGUAAGAUACUCAUUAUUACUUUAAAUAGUUUUUGAAAAUAUUUAUUAUAUGUAAGUUGUUAAAAAACAACAUUUUUCUAAAAAAAAACUGUAUUUUUAACUAUUUCUUCUAUUUGUUAUAAUUUUAAAGAAAUUAUAAUACUAUACAUUUUUUAUUCCUUAUCCUAAAGCAGAUUAUUUUUUUUUUGAAGUACUUAAAUGCGUAAAAAAACGAAUUUUGUCUGAGUAGUUAACAAGUUAUAAGUAUUUAAAGUUUAGAUGAGCCUGUGGAAUGGAGUGGUACAGGGGUACCCACAAAAUCUUGGUCCACUACUCAGUUCAUCUAAAAUUAUUUAUUUUAAAUUUGAUUUUUAAACAUCGAAGUACUCAUUAGGAAUAUUCUGCUUUGGAAUAAAAAUGUAAAAUAUUUAUUAUAUCAUUCAAAAUUGUAAAAAAACUUUAUAAAAAAUUAUAACGAUAAAAGAUAGUACAU